rnacentral:rRNA from 1 species
UACGUAGGCAGCGAGCGUUGUUCGGAGUUACUGGGCGUAAAGAGUGCGUAGGCGGUUUUCUAAGUUUGGUGUGAAAUCUCCCGGCUCAACUGGGAGGGUGCGCCGAAGACUGGAAGGCUUGAGUAUGGGAGAGGUAAGCGGAAUUCCUGGUGUAGCGGUGAAAUGCGUAGAUAUCGUCUGGAACGCCAAAGGUGAAAACAGACUGCUGGGAGUGUGCUGACGCUGAGACACGAAAGCCAGGGGAGCAAACGGG